UAAGCUGCUAGCAACCCUAUCCCUGUAAGAAGUGUCCCAGACAGAAGACAACAUCUGUGAGUACGAGGAUGAGGAUCGGCUGGCAAAGUGAGGAACCAAUGGUGUCCAGGCGUCGAACUUUACAGAGGAAGAUGGAGCUGGAAGAAGACAUGGCGUCUGGACCAGAUGAAGAAGAAAAGUCAAAUGUUGGCACCCCUGAAAUUUUUCAAGAAAAUGAAGUAUUUCUCACAGAAAGGAUUGAGUCAGAAAUCUGGGUUUGCGUCCGAGAUCUAGAGUCUUCCACCAGGACAAUGAUCACAAACAUACGUCAAAAAGCACCCAGAAAUGGAUGGCAACAAAGGGCUGGAGAGUUUUGAAGUGGCCAGAUCUAAAUCCCAUUGGACACCUGCGGAGAGAUCUUAAAAUUGCUGUUGGGAAAAGACGCCUUCCAAUAAGAGAGACCUGGAGCAGUUUGCAAAGGAAGAGUGGUCCAACUUUCCGGCUGAGAGGUGUAAGAAGCUUAUUGAUGGUUAUAGGAAAUGACUGAUUUCAGUUAUUUAUUUCCAAAAGGGUGUGCAACCAAAUAUUAAGUUAAAGGGGUUAUCCAGGAAAAAACUUUUCUUUUAUAUAUCAAUUGGCUCCAGAAAGUUAAACAGAUUUGUAAAUCACUUCUAUUAAA